UGGCGAACGGGUGAGUAACAUAUCGGAACGUGCCCAGUAAUGGGGGAUAGCCCGGCGAAAGCCGGAUUAAUACCGCAUACGACCUAAGGGUGAAAGCGGGGGACCUGCAAGGGCCUCGCGUUAUUGGAGCGGCCGAUAUCAGAUUAGCUAGUUGGUGGGGUAAAGGCCUACCAAGGCGACGAUCUGUAGCUGGUCUGAGAGGACGACCAGCCACACUGGGACUGAGACACGGCCCAGACUCCUACGGGAGGCAGCAGUGGGGAAUUUUGGACAAUGGGCGCAAGCCUGAUCCAGCCAUGCCGCGUGUGGGAAGAAGGCCUUCGGGUUGUAAACCACUUUUGUCAGGGAAGAAACGGUCUGGACUAAUAAUCUGGGCUAAUGACGGUACCCGAAGAAUAAGCACCGGCUAACUACGUGCCAGCAGCCGCGAUAAUACGUAGGGUGCAAGCGUUAAUCGGAAUUACUGGGCGUAAAGCGUACGCAGGCGGCUUUGCAAGACAGAUGUGAAAUCCCCGGGCUCAACCUGGGAACUGCAUUUGUGAC
rnacentral:rRNA from 1 species